CCUACGGGCGGCAGCAGUGAGGAAUAUUGGUCAAUGGACGAGAGUCUGAACCAGCCAAGUAGCGUGAAGGAUGACUGCCCUAUGGGUUGUAAACUUCUUUUAUAAAGGAAUAAAACGAGGCACGUGUGCCUUUUUGCAUGUACUUUAUGAAUAAGGAUCGGCUAACUCCGUGCCAGCAGCCGCGGUAAUACGGAGGAUCCGAGCGUUAUCCGGAUUUAUUGGGUGUAAAGGGAGCGUAGAUGGGUUGUUAAGUCAGUUGUGAAAGUUUGCGGCUCAACCGUAAAAUUGCAAUUGAUACUGGCAGUCGUGAGUACAGUUGAGGUAGGCGGAAUUCGUGGUGUAGCGGUGAAAUGCUUAGAUAUCACGAAGAACCCCGAUUGCGAAGGCAGCUUACUAAACUGUGACUGACAUUGAUGCUCGAAAGUGUGGGUAUCAAACAGGAUUAGAUACCCGUGUAGUC
rnacentral:rRNA from 1 species